rnacentral:snRNA from 1 species
GAAUGUGAGGGUAAUCUGGCUGCAACAUCUGUCACCCCUUGAUCGCCAGGGUUGAUUUGGCCGACCUUGCUGGCCAGGUAGGUAUCACCUUCCUCCCUCACCGCUCCUAGUGCAUCCCUCCCAAAGCUGCGUGCUCAGUUGAAGAGGACGAUCUUCCCUGACACAGGAGAACCAUUACUCGGUCGAGGGUAUCCCAUAGCUGCACUCCCCUGCUAAAACCACCAAACAAGCUCCAAGGAAGACCCUGUCUCAAUUUUUUUUUUUUUUUAAAGAGAGAGUGAGAGGGAGGGAGGGAGGGAGAGAGAGAGAGAGAGAGAGAGAGAGAAUUUAAAUAUUUAUUUUUU